rnacentral:rRNA from 1 species
GGUUAAGUUAGAAAGGGCGCACGGUGGAUGCCUUGACACUAGGAGUCGAUGAAGGACGGGACUAACGCCGAUAUGCUUCGGGGAGCUGUAAGUAAGCUUUGAUCCGAAGAUUUCCGAAUGGGGAAACCCACCAUACGUAAUGGUAUGGUAUCCUUAUCUGAAUACAUAGGGUAAGGAAGACAGACCCAGGGAACUGAAACAUCUAAGUACCUGGAGGAAGAGAAAGCAAAUGCGAUUUCCUGAGUAGCGGCGAGCGAAACGGAACAUAGCCCAAACCAAGAGGCUUGCCUCUUGGGGUUGUAGGACAUUCUAUACGGAGUUACAAAGGAACGAGGUAGACGAAGCGACCUGGAAAGGUCCGUCGUAGAGGGUAACAACCCCGUAGUCGAAACUUCGUUCUCUCUUGAAUGUAUCCUGAGUACGGCGGAACACGUGAAAUUCCGUCGGAAUCUGGGAGGACCAUCUCCCAAGGCUAAAUACUCCCUAGUGAUCGAUAGUGAACCAGUACCGUGAGGGAAAGGUGAAAAGCACCCCGGAAGGGGAGUGAAAGAGAUCCUGAAACCGUGUGCCUACAAAUAGUCAGAGCCCGUUAACGGGUGAUGGCGUGCCUUUUGUAGAAUGAACCGGCGAGUUACGAUCCCGUGCGAGGUUAAGCUGAAGAGGCGGAGCCGCAGCGAAAGCGAGUCUGAAUAGGGCGUUUAGUACGUGGUCGUAGACCCGAAACCAGGUGAUCUACCCAUGUCCAGGGUGAAGUUCAGGUAACACUGAAUGGAGGCCCGAACCCACGCACGUUGAAAAGUGCGGGGAUGAGGUGUGGGUAGCGGAGAAAUUCCAAUCGAACCUGGAGAUAGCUGGUUCUCCCCGAAAUAGCUUUAGGGCUAGCCUUAAGUGUAAGAGUCUUGGAGGUAGAGCACUGAUUGGACUAGGGGUCCUCAUCGGAUUACCGAAUUCAGUCAAACUCCGAAUGCCAAUGACUUAUCCUUAGGAGUCAGACUGCGAGUGAUAAGAUCCGUAGUCAAAAGGGAAACAGCCCAGACCGCCAGCUAAGGUCCCAAAGUGUGUAUUAAGUGGAAAAGGAUGUGGAGUUGCUUAGACAACUAGGAUGUUGGCUUAGAAGCAGCCACCAUUUAAAGAGUGCGUAAUAGCUCACUAGUCGAGUGACUCUGCGCCGAAAAUGUACCGGGGCUAAAUACACCACCGAAGCUGCGGAUUGAUACCGAAUGGUAUCAGUGGUAGGGGAGCGUUCUAAGGACAGUGAAGUCAGACCGGAAGGACUGGUGGAGUGCUUAGAAGUGAGAAUGCCGGUAUGAGUAGCGAAAGACGGGUGAGAAUCCCGUCCACCGAAUGCCUAAGGUUUCCUGAGGAAGGCUCGUCCGCUCAGGGUUAGUCAGGACCUAAGCCGAGGCCGACAGGCGUAGGCGAUGGACAACAGGUUGAUAUUCCUGUACCACCUCUUUAUCGUUUGAGCAAUGGAGGGACGCAGAAGGAUAGAAGAAGCGUGCGAUUGGUUGUGCACGUCCAAGCAGUUAGGCUGAUAAGUAGGCAAAUCCGCUUAUCGUGAAGGCUGAGCUGUGAUGGGGAAGCUCCUUAUGGAGCGAAGUCUUUGAUUCCCCGCUGCCAAGAAAAGCUUCUAGCGAGAUAAAAGGUGCCUGUACCGCAAACCGACACAGGUAGGCGAGGAGAGAAUCCUAAGGUGUGCGAGAGAACUCUGGUUAAGGAACUCGGCAAAAUGACCCCGUAACUUCGGGAGAAGGGGUGCUUUCUUAACGGAAAGCCGCAGUGAAUAGGCCCAAGCGACUGUUUAGCAAAACACAGCUCUCUGCGAAGCCGUAAGGCGAAGUAUAGGGGGUGACACCUGCCCGGUGCUGGAAGGUUAAGGAGAGGGGUUAGCGUAAGCGAAGCUCUGAACUGAAGCCCCAGUAAACGGCGGCCGUAACUAUAACGGUCCUAAGGUAGCGAAAUUCCUUGUCGGGUAAGUUCCGACCCGCACGAAAGGUGUAACGAUUUGGGCACUGUCUCAACCAGAGACUCGGUGAAAUUAUAGUACCUGUGAAGAUGCAGGUUACCCGCGACAGGACGGAAAGACCCCGUGGAGCUUUACUGUAGCCUGAUAUUGAAUUUUGGUACAGUUUGUACAGGAUAGGCGGGAGCCUUUGAAACCGGAGCGCUAGCUUCGGUGGAGGCGCUGGUGGGAUACCGCCCUGACUGUAUUGAAAUUCUAACCUACGGGUCUUAUCGACCCGGGAGACAGUGUCAGGUGGGCAGUUUGACUGGGGCGGUCGCCUCCUAAAGUGUAACGGAGGCGCCCAAAGGUUCCCUCAGAAUGGUUGGAAAUCAUUCGUAGAGUGCAAAGGCAUAAGGGAGCUUGACUGCGAGACCUACAAGUCGAGCAGGGACGAAAGUCGGGCUUAGUGAUCCGGUGGUUCCGCAUGGAAGGGCCAUCGCUCAACGGAUAAAAGCUACCCCGGGGAUAACAGGCUUAUCUCCCCAAGAGUCCACAUCGACGGGGAGGUUUGGCACCUCGAUGUCGGCUCAUCGCAUCCUGGGGCUGUAGUCGGUCCCAAGGGUUGGGCUGUUCGCCCAUUAAAGCGGUACGCGAGCUGGGUUCAGAACGUCGUGAGACAGUUCGGUCCCUAUCCGUCGUGGGCGUAGGAAAUUUGAGAGGAGCUGUCCUUAGUACGAGAGGACCGGGAUGGACGCACCGCUGGUGUACCAGUUGUUCUGCCAAGGGCAUAGCUGGGUAGCUAUGUGCGGAAGGGAUAAGUGCUGAAAGCAUCUAAGCAUGAAGCCCCCCUCAAGAUGAGAUUUCCCAUAGCGUAAGCUAGUAAGAUCCCUGAAAGAUGAUCAGGUUGAUAGGUUCGAGGUGGAAGCAUGGUGACAUGUGGAGCUGACGAAUACUAAUAGAUCGAGGACUUAACCAU